AUGCCAGUACUGGAGACUGAAAUCUUCUUUCUCCACAGAACAGGUACCGCACAGGCAGUAGAAGCACAGGUCUUCCCUCCGCUGCCCUGCCCCAUCUGCCUCCCUCAGCCCAGGCCAGGAGACAGCACCACUAGGGACAGUCUCUCUUUGUAUUCGUGGGCUUCU
rnacentral:sRNA from 1 species